rnacentral:lncRNA from 1 species
CUAUUCCAUUAGGCCUGAAAAGUUUGGGCUCUGUUUGGGCUAAUGAGGCUAAAGUUGCAAAUUGGACUCCGUCCAAUUCUGACCCAACGAUCUAUAUAGCAAGCCCAGCAACCCAAGCAUAGAAGCUUCUGGAGGUAGCCGAUAACCGCUUCGAAACAAGAUGUAUAUAAAGAGAGAGAAUCCUCGAAAAUAACACAAACAGGAAAACGCAUCUGUGAAAGAAACCGACAUACCAGGUACUAUUUCUCAAUAAAUAAUCAUUUUCUUUUUGUCAAUAAUUAUUAUGUUCGAUUUAUUGUAUCAAUUCUCAGAACUUUUUCUUUAUGGCUAGCCGAGUUUUUUCUUUGCUUUCUAGGAUUCGUUGCAAUCCUAGAAAGAAUGUUAUAAUCGGAAUACAAAGGCCAAUAUUCUGGUUUUCAGUUCGAUUGCGGACCUUAUUUCAUUGAUUUUAUAUGUAUAAAAUUUGUAAAUUCGGAAAAUAUGUAAAGGUUAAUGUAAGCUAGAUUUUUUUUCAGAAUAUAAGGAAAUGUAUAAAUUGGUUAGGAUUGUUGUUAUAAUUUAAAUUAUCUUUUUUUCCGUUUUGCGGAUUCAGCUUGCAUUAUAUUUGUUAUAAUUAUCAGAAUAACAUAUGUGUUUUCCAAAACUGUGUAGAAGUUUUAGAUAUUUACAAAAUGUAAUGGAGGAAACAUGCUGUAAGAAAAUUUCGUUUUGGCUCUCCAAAGAAAAUUUUGUGAAAAAGAUGGAACGAAGAGCAGUGUUUCAAUCCAUUUAGUUCUUUGUUUCUUCCUUGGGUUAUAGGGUCAAAACUUUAGCUUUUGUCUUCUCCUGUAUUAUUUUCUUGAAUAAAUUUCUGGGAUGUGGUGAAUAGUGAAUUUCUUUGAUUUAUAAGGAUUUAUAUUAUGGGAAGUAUCUCCAUUUGUUUUUGGCUAAAGUAUGGUGUUGAAGAAUUUCUUUCCAGAAAAAAGAAAGAAAAAAAAUGCAAUAGGAAGAAGAAAAAUAAUGUAUUUUGGUCCUUGUUUUAUUAUUUCCAGUUAGUUUUGGUUGUUUGUAAUGUCUGAGUUUGCAGACAGGUGAAAUUAUGAGGGGAAGAAGCUGCAGCUACAGUCCUAGUCCACACAGAGGUUACAGCAAGAGACGUCGUAGCCCUAGCCCGAGGGGUCGCUAUGGUAGUCUGAGUGAUCCCCCUACUAGUCUCUUGGUUCGCAACCUUCGCCGUGAUUGCAGGUUAGUUCAGAUGGCAUCCUCUGUCUCAUAAGUUGGAAACAUUGAUACUUUCAUAUGUUAUCUAAUCUCUAAAUGAGAACAUUCCUUUUUUCAUUUAUGGGUUUGGGGGUGGCGGUUGGGGAAGAGCUAGGGAGAGAAGAGAAAAAGUAAGUGCAGCUACUAGCAGAUAGGAAGAAAUUAAGAAAAUAUGAUUAAUUGAGAGAAUGAGCUCCUUAUGGUCUUAUUAGGGAUUAAUAUAUGUUAGCAGAAAAUGUGAAGAACUUUCAGUGUCAAAGGACUCAUAUAUGUCACGCAAACUACCUUGGGAAUUGGAACUGAGGAGUAGUCGGUCUCUGGAACAUAUACUGCUGUCAAGUAGAAAAAUG